ncrna:unclassified sequences L31-Gammaproteobacteria ribosomal protein leader
CGUGUGGUGUCUGGCAUAGGAUCAGAUAGCGACACGGCCUACAAAACACAGAGGU